CCUACGGGGGGCAGCAGUGGGGAAUAUUGCACAAUGGGGGAAACCCUGAUGCAGCGACGCCGCGUGAGUGAAGAAGUAUUUCGGUACGUAAAGCUCUAUCAGCAGGGAAGAAAAUGACGGUACCUGACUAAGAAGCCACGGAUAACUACGUGCCAGCAGCCGCGGUAAUACGUAGGUGGCAAGCGUUAUCCGGAUUUACUGGGUGUAAAGGGAGCGUAGACGGCUGCGAAAGUCUGGAGUGAAAUCCCAUGGCUUAACCAUAGAACUGGUUUUGAAACUGUGCAGCUAGAGUGCAGGAGAGGUAAGCGGAAUUCCUAGUGUAGCGGUGAAAUGCGUAGAUAUUAGGAGGAACACCAGUGGCGAAGGCGGCUUACUGGACUGUAACUGACGUUGAGGCUCGAAAGCGUGGGGAGCAAACAGGAUUAGAUACCCUUGUAGUC
rnacentral:rRNA from 1 species